UACGGAGGAUGCGAGCGUUAUCCGGAUUUAUUGGGUUUAAAGGGUGCGUAGGCGGACUGUUAAGUCAGCGGUAAAAUGUCGGGGCUCAACCCCGGCCGGCCGUUGAAACUGGCGUGCUCGAGUUGGAGAGAAGUAUGCGGAAUGCGUGGUGUAGCGGUGAAAUGCAUAGAUAUCACGCAGAACUCCGAUUGCGAAGGCAGCAUACCGGCGCCCAACUGACGCUGAAGCACGAAAGCGUGGGUAUCGAACAGG
rnacentral:rRNA from 1 species